rnacentral:rRNA from 1 species
CGGUUAAGUCCCGCCAACGAGCGCAACCCUCGCUGUGUGUUACAAGUGUCACACGGAACUGCCGGUCAUAAACCGGAGGAAGGUGGGGAUGACGUCAAGUCAGCAUGGCCUUUAUAUCCUGGGCUACACACACGCUACAAUGGGAAGGGACAAUAGGUUGCGAAGCCGCGAGGCGGAGCCAAUCCAGCAAAACUUCCCUCAGUUCAGAUUGCAGGCUGCAACUCGCCUGCAUGAAGUUGGAGUUGCUAGUAAACGCAGGUCAGCCAUACUGCGUUGAAUACGUUCCCGGGGCUU